rnacentral:rRNA from 1 species
AACGAACGCUGGCGGCGUGCCUAACACAUGCAGGUCGUGCGAGAAAGUUCCUUCGGGAGCGAGUAAAGCGGCGCACGGGUGAGUAACACGUAGGUAACCUGCCCCCCAGUCUGGAACAACUAGAGGAAACUCUAGCUAAUGCCGGAUGAGACCACGAUCCCUUCGGGGGUUGCGGCCAAAGAUGGCCUCUACUUGUAAGCUAUCGCUGAGGGAUGGGCCUGCGGGCCAUUAGCUUGUUGGUGAGGUAACGGCUCACCAAGGCUGUGAUGGCUAGCUGGUCUGAGAGGAUGACCAGCCACACUGGGACUGAGACACGGCCCAGACUCCUACGGGAGGCAGCAGUGGGGAAUAUUGCGCAAUGGGCGAAAGCCUGACGCAGCGACGCCGCGUGGGUGAUGAAGGCC